GGGCUCUGCUUUCUUAACCAACACCUGCCUUGUAGCAGGGCUGUCCCGUGGUCUGCACUGCACGGGCACUCAGAGUGGAUGGGCCCCUCGCAGCAGUGCUGUGACAGUGUUCUCUUCUUCCUUGACAGGUUGUGGCACGGCACAAGGGGGGACUCCUCAGCAUGCUGGAGCUCUCAGAGAGCAAGUCUGCAGGUGCUGACACGGGGACCCACAUCCCUGCAGUAGACGACCAACGGAAGCCCACCGCGCUGCCACCCGGCGCCGAGGAUGAGCAGAAGGCCGAGCGCAGCGCACGCUCCCUCCCG
rnacentral:lncRNA from 1 species